CAUACUUGAUCACAACCCUGGCUGCCCUUUUGAAUUCCCCCCGAAAUCACCUAGGAGGCGUUCAAUUGUCUUUCUCGAUAUAACCUUGUCGAUUUCGAAUGCUCUCAUCUCCUUCAUAAGACCUGCACAAAGCUACUCGUAAAAUGAGCCCAACUUUGUCUAUGCUGUAGUUGGGUAUGAUUUUGUUUGAAAAUAUAUCCUUCAUUACAAAUUCAUCUUAUGAUAUAGCUUCUUCUCAAACAAGAUUACAAAAUUGAUAUGUAGCUGGUAAAUGUUCGCCGAAUAAAACAAGUUCAUCAUGUGUAUGAUUUAGGAGAAAAACUUGCCUGGUCGAUGGAGAUCUUUGAGAGGAAAAUGUGCCGCAUUUGAGUUAAAGAACACGAGCAGAGUCUUCAUCAGCUCAACAGACUCGGUAGAGACUAGAAUCUCCCUCUAAAAUACAACAGACGUAGCUAGAAAUGUCAAAUUCUAUGACUAGAUCAGAUAAA